rnacentral:tRNA from 1 species
GCCCAGAUAGCUCAGUCGGUAGAGCAGGGGACUGAAAAUCCCGGUGUCGGUGGUUCGAUUCCGCCUCUGGACACCA